GGGGAUGAAAAGUUUUGAUAGAGGUCUUCGUCAAAAUAAAGCAGGCCGAGAUCUCCGACUCUCGAAAAUAAUCGGAAAAGAAAAAUAAGUGCCAACUUAUUUAACAAACAACCUGUUUUAGCAUACGCUUAAAGCAGCAUCGGAAAUAACGAUUCUCGAUAGUUAAAUUCCGGUGUCAUAAUAUCGAGAUAGAUAAUUCUUCUCGCCCAAAAAGAAUUAUUAAAAAUAAUUGGGAUUAGAAAAUUAAAAUUUUGUUUGUUUUUUAUCUAAUUUUCGAAAUACAAAACAAAAUAAGCCUGUAGUAUUAUUUUGGCGAAACUUCUAGACGGGGCUUCAACGCCCCCAUCUCCACCA
rnacentral:tmRNA from 2 species